CUAUGGUAAUGAUCCAGAAGCAAACAAAUUUCCCUUCAAUUUUGGAUAAAAACUUCGGCAACAUGGGUUUCUUCAUCUUAUGAUCGUUUUUGAUGAUUCCUUCAUCGAUAUUUCAAGAUUUCGAUCGUCUAUCAUCCUAAGACUUCAAUUCAAGAUCUUACGAGUUGUUUGGCCGGUGAAGUAGAGGAUUUGAGCGGGUAAACGACGUGUGGAUUAUUUUAUCUUGGUUUUGCAUUUUUGGAAUAAGCGAUCGAGAGCUUGUCGGUGAGCUGUGGAAUUCCAAGUUGAAAGCAGAAUACACUGUGAGUACAAGGUUCAGUAAGCACAUGGAUCGUGCCAAAGAGUCAAAAAUUCCAUUGAUGGUACUUGUGGGUGAGAAAGAACUAGAGAGAGGGAUUGUAAAAAUAAAGAACCUUGAGACCACAGUUGAAAACGAGGUCUCUAGAAGUAAUUUUGUUGAGGAAGUCAAGCUUGAGCUUGCAAAAAUCUCGUCUGCUUUAUACCAAAUGUGAAUCAGUCUUCACUGCCUAUCCUGUGCCACAACAAUACUACUUUUGCAGAGGCAUUAACAAUAUUAGUCAAGUAUAUUCGAUAAUUUCUUCAAAAAGUACUAAAUUAUUAGGUUGCUUAUUUGUUUCUUCUUUGUAGUCGUGCGAUAUACCAUUUGUUUUUAUUUUUUCUUUUAUAACUAAUUUUUCACAACUUUCCCUUUUGAAGGAAAAGGGUUGUACUUGAUAAUAUAUUGGCAAAUACAAUUGGCUA